CCAGUACAACAGGGAUUGCCUUAGUAACGGCGAGUGAAGCGGCAAAAGCUCAAAUUUGAAAUCUAGCACUUUCAGUGUUCGAGUUGUAAUUUGAAGAAGGUAACUUUGGAAUUGGCUCUUGUCUAUGUUCCUUGGAACAGGACGUCACAGAGGGUGAGAAUCCCGUGCGAUGAGAUGUCCAAUUCUAUGUAAAGUGCUUUCGAAGAGUCGAGUUGUUUGGGAAUGCAGCUCUAAGUGGGUGGUAAAUUCCAUCUAAAGCUAAAUAUUGGCGAGAGACCGAUAGCGAACAAGUACAGUGAUGGAAAGAUGAAAAGAACUUUGAAAAGAGAGUGAAAAAGUACGUGAAAUUGUUGAAAGGGAAGGGCUUGAGAUCAGACUUGGUAUUUUGUGUUCCUUAUCCUUCUUGGAUUGGGUUCCUCACAGCUUACCGGGCCAGCAUCGGUUUGGAUGGCAGGAUAAUGACAUUGGAAUGUAGCUUUGCUUCGGUGAAGUGUUAUAGACUUUGUUGAUACUGCCUAUCUAGACCGAGGACUGCGUCUUGACUAGAUGCUGCG
rnacentral:rRNA from 1 species